AGCAGUGUGGUCUAGUGGAUAGAGCACAGGCCUGUGAGGCAGAAGAACCUGGGUUCUAAUCCCAGCACUGUUA
rnacentral:tRNA from 1 species